rnacentral:rRNA from 1 species
GACGAACGCUGGCGGCGUGCCUAAUACAUGCAAGUAGAACGCUGAAGGAGGAGCUUGCUUCUCUGGAUGGGUUGCGAACGGGUGAGUAACGCGUAGGUAACCUGCCUGGUAGCGGGGGAUAACUAUUGGAAACGAUAGCUAAUACCGCAUAAUAGUAGAUGUUGCAUGACAUUUGCUUAAAAGGUGCAAUUGCAUCACUACCAGAUGGACCUGCGUUGUAUUAGCUAGUUGGUGAGGUAACGGCUCACCAAGGCGACGAUACAUAGCCGACCUGAGAGGGUGAUCGGCCACACUGGGACUGAGACACGGCCCAGACUCCUACGGGAGGCAGCAGUAGGGAAUCUUCGGCAAUGGACGGAAGUCUGACCGAGCAACGCCGCGUGAGUGAAGAAGGUUUUCGGAUCGUAAAGCUCUGUUGUAAGAGAAGAACGAGUGUGAGAGUGGAAAGUUCACACUGUGACGGUAUCUUACCAGAAAGAGACGGCUAACUACGUG